UACAGAGGGGGCAAGCGUUAUUCGGAAUCACUGGGCGUAAAGCGCACGUAGGCGGACUCUUAAGUCGGUGGUGAAAUCCUGGAGCUCAACUCCAGAACUGCCUUCGAUACUGAGAGUCUCGAGUCCGAGAGAGGUGAGUGGAACUGCGAGUGUAGAGGUGAAAUUCGUAGAUAUUCGCAAGAACACCAGUGGCGAAGGCGGCUCACUGGCCCGAUACUGACGCUGAGGCACGAAAGCGUGGGGAGCAAACAGG
rnacentral:rRNA from 1 species